GACGGAGGGGGCUAGCGUUGUUCGGAUUGACUGGGCGUAAAGGGCGCGUAGGCCGUUUAUCAAGUCAGGCGUGAAAGCCUCGGGCUUAACCCGAGAACUGCGCUUGAUACUGGUAGACUAGAGUGCGAGAGAGGAAAGUGGAAUUCCUAGUGUAGAGGUGAAAUUCGUAGAUAUUAGGAGGAACACCAGAGGCGAAGGCGGCUUUCUGGCUCGCAACUGACGCUGAGGCGCGAAAGCGUGGGGAGCAAACAGG
rnacentral:rRNA from 1 species